CGAACGAGANCCAGGGAGCUUGNUUCCUGGGGACAGUGGCGAACGGGUGAGUAACACGUAAGUAAUCUGCCCUNGAGUGGGGAAUAACUCCGCGAAAGCGGGGCUAAUACCGCAUAAUACUUUGUNGCAUACGCAAUCAGAGUCAAAGCUUUCGGGUGCUUGAGGAUGAGCUUGCGACUUAUNAGCUAGUUGGUAGGGUAACGGCCUACCAAGGCUUCGAUGAGUAGCCGGCCUGAGAGGGUGAUCGGCCACACUGGGACUGCGACACGGCCCAGACUCCUACGGGAGGCAGCAGUGGGGAAUUUUGCGCAAUGGGCGAAAGCCUGACGCAGCGACGCCGCGUGGAGGAUGAAGGCCUUCGGGUUGUAAACUCCUGUCAGAGGUGAAGAACGCACUUCGGUGCUUGACGGUAACCUCAGAGGAAGCCCCGGCUAACUACGUGCCAGCAGCCGCGGUAAUACGUAGGGGGCAAACGUUGCUCGGAAUUACUGGGCGUAAAGGGUGUGUAGGUGGCUGUGCAAGUCGAAAAUGAAAUCCCAUGGCUCAACCAUGGAAUGGUUUUCGAAACUGCACAGCUUGAGGAUGGUUGAGGAAGACGGAAUUCCCGGUGGAGCGGUGAAAUGCGUAGAUAUCGGGAGGAACACCAGAGGCGAAGGCGGUCUUCUGAGUCAUUCCUGACACUGAAACACGAAAGCUAGGGGAGCGAACGGGAUUAGAUACCCCGGUAGUCCUAGCCGUAAACGAUGGGCACUAGAUGUUUCUGCUUUAUGCGGGAGUGUCGAAGUUAACGCAUUAAGUGCCCCGCCUGGGGAGUACGGUCGCAAGGCUGAAACUCAAAUGAAUUGACGG
rnacentral:rRNA from 1 species